rnacentral:tRNA from 2 species
GACUCUGUAGUGAAGUUCAUGUUGAGUUGCAAGCUCAUCGAUAUGCGCUUGGAGUGCAUCGGAGUCU